rnacentral:lncRNA from 1 species
GCUCAGCCGCUCCUGGGUGGGCGUGGGGUGACUGGGUGAACUUGCGACCAGGUGAACCUGCGACCAGGAAGCGACUGGCUGGAAUGGGGAUGGCCAGUGGCCCGGGCCCCCCUGACCCAGCGGAGUUCUCGAGAGUGUAGGUGCCCUUCCGGCUUGUGCUAAGGAGAGCUCAUCGAGGAGGCUGGCUUCAGGAGGAUGCAAAUCCUGGGAGCUGCUGCUGUUGGAGAUUAUUUCUCAUCCUUCUCCCAUUCUACCCUGAGAAGUUAGAGGUGUGGGUGGCCUGCAGCCCAGGCGCCCCCCUCCAUCCCUCUGUGUCGUUGGACACAGGCACCUGUAAAGGUUUGCUGCUUCUUUUCCUUUUUUAAAAAAGAUUUUAUUUAUUUG